UGGGGAAUAUUGGGGCAAUGGGGGGAAACCCUGACCCAGCAACGCCGCGUGAAGGAAGAAGGCCUUCGGUUGUAAACUUCUUUUACCAGGGACGAAGGACGUGACGGUACCUGGAGAAAAAGCAACGGCUAACUACGUGCCAGCAGCCGCGGUAAUACGUAGGUUGCAAGCGUUGUCCGGAUUUACUGGGUGUAAAGGGCGUGUAGGCGGAGAUGCAAGUUGGGAGUGAAAUCCAUGGGCUCAACCCAUGAACUGCCCUCAAAACUGUAUCCCUUGAGUAUCGGAGAGGCAAGCGGAAUUCCUAGUGUAGCGGUGAAAUGCGUAGAUAUUAGGAGGAACACCAGUGGCGAAGGCGGAUUGCUGGACAGUAACUGACGGUGAGGCGCGAAAGUG
rnacentral:rRNA from 1 species